rnacentral:sRNA from 1 species
CAUAUAGUGUAAAUUAAAAUGUUCUUUCUUUCAGAGUUUCCUCCAGACUUUGCUGAGGCCUUUGAGUCUCAGUUGAGUCUAUCUGACAGUCCUUCACUUUGCAGACCAGUGCAUUCUAAGAAAGGUCUGGAACACAAAGCAGAUCUACAACAACAUUUAUUUCCAGUCCCACCAGGACAUUUGCAAUGUACUCCAGAGUCCCUCUGGAAGGAGCUGUCUUUACAGCAUGAAGGACUAAAGAAGUUAAUACACAAGCAAAUGCAACCUUUCUCCCAGGGAAUUGUGAUCCUCUCUAGAAGCUGGGCUGUGGACCUGAACUUGCAGGAGAAGCCAGGAGUCAUCUGUGAUGCUCUGCUGAUAGCACAGAACAGCACCCCCAUUCUCUACACCAUUCUCAGGGAGCAAGAUGCAGAGGGCCAGGACUACUGCACUCGCACCGCCUUUACUUUGAAGCAGAAGCUGGUGAACAUGGGGGGCUACACCGGGAAGGUAUGUGUUAAGGCCAAGGUCCUCUGCCUGAGACCUGAGAGCAGCACAGAGGCCUUGGAGGCUGCAGUGUCUCC